rnacentral:misc_RNA from 1 species
CAUGAUAUAACAGGGAGUGGGUACCACGCAAGUGCGCCCAUUCUGUCUGCAUAUUCUACCCAUGAUUUUGCGUACCCUUUGUUUCCUUGGUGGGCUUGCCCACCAAUAGGACACCCAACAACCCUUUGUAAUUGCAGUCAGCGUCAGAAAACUAUAAUAAUUA